AUUGUGUUGAUGUACGUAUGCAUAUAUCUAUAUCUAUAACAAUCUAUAAAAACAGCAAAAUGUGCCUCUAACAUCAAUGUGUCUAACAGGUUAGAUGCCAAAUUCACCCCUCAUGAAGAUUGCCUCACAAGAUAUGCAUUGUUGGGGCGUCUUCAGCAAGCUCGGUGGAAGAGGAUGCUUCUCAAACAAGCUGCCCUUCACCUCUUGCCACCUGACCUGCUGCAACUUUCUCUUGAGUCUUCCUUCACAAGUUCUUCUAUUUUAUAAUAGGUGUAAUUGUUGCCUUGAUGCAAAUUGUUGUCAAUCUUGUUCAAGAAACAUACGAAGUUCAAUGGCCAUUGUCCCUUGUUAUAUCAAGAAAAGCCUUAACAAAAUACCAGCUGAUAUUCCGCUUCCUGUUUCAUUAUGAGCAUGUGGAUCUCCAACUUUGUGGGGCAUGGAAAAUACAUCAAGGUGUGCGUGCUGUUAACACAAAAGGAACUGCAAUCUCUUGGUCAUCUUUGUUGUGUCGUAGUAUGCUUAAGUUUAUUAAUAGCCUUCUACACUAUCUAACAUUUGAGGUUCUUGAACCCAACUGGCAUGUGAUGCAUAAUAGACUACAAACUGCAAAGAGCAUAGAUGAUGUAUAUAUGCACUCCCUUACUGGUUAUUGAAUACCAUAAUUUUUCCCUUGAGAAGUGUAUAACAGAAUGCUUGCUUCUUUUGCCUGAAGUUCUUAAGGUUAGUUUUGAUUUUUAUCGUCAGUGUAAAAGAUGAAGUUUCCUUGCUUAAGAUCACACUUUAUUAAGCUUUCUGUUUGAUAUAUGCCAUUUGAAAAAUUUAUGUUUUGAACUUUUGAACUAGAUUAUCAAACAUGUCUUUGUCCCAAAGUUUCAAUGCUUGGAUUGAAACUAAAGCACCACCUGUCUCAACUGUCUUUUCUUGAAAUCUGCUCAUUUAGAGAAACCUUAUUUGUUGUGCGUAACUGAUAAAGUCUAGGGAAUUUAAUACAAAGACUUGAAUCCCCUUUCCAAUGAUCAAUCCAUGUUUAAGGUGGCUUCAUCAGUCCAUGUUUAAGAGCUUACAACUCAUGUUUCGAAGUUAUGGAACACUCGACCCAACUUACCAUCAGUUGGGUUGUGUUGUCUUGUUGGAGUAAUAUAUCAACAGACUCUUUUUGUGGCCAAUCUUGAAGAUUCCCCGUGUUGUAUUGGGGAAGAAAGUUGGGAACACGAAUUAUUGCUGCCAUACAAUUAUCAACAAAACACAAUGCCAACAUUGAGGCCGCCAGGCAUGAGAUUAAAGAAUUACACCCCAAUGAUCCUCAAAUUGUUUCUCAAUCAAGUAUGGAGUCUGGAGAGAAAGGCAUUAUUCAGAUGAUACCCUUUUGAGUACGUGAUGAUUUCUACGCACAUCAAUAUUGGAGUUUACUGUUGAUACUAAAACAAGCUAUAAUAUAUAUGUUUGUUUAUUUGUACUGUUGAUACUUUUGUUUUGUUUUAGAUAAAAAUUUGACUUCUUGAAUUAUCAAAAACUAUUAGCAUUGUUGGAGGAUAUUUCAUAUAUUUUUGUAAAGAAUGUUUGGUUGAUAUUGUAUUGUUACAGGGUACAUAUAUAUAUAUUAUAUAUUAUUCCUA